AACGAACGCUGGCGGCAGGCUUAACACACGCAAGUCGAACGCAUCCUUCGGGGUGAGUGGCAGACGGGUGAGUAACGCGUGGGAACGUGCCCUUCAGUUCGGGAUAACCCAGGGAAGCUUGGGCUAAUACCGGAUACGUGCGAGAGCAGAAAGAUUUAUCACUGAAGGAUCGGCCCGCGUCUGAUUAGCUAGUUGGUGGGGUAAUGGCCCACCAAGGCGACGAUCAGUAGCUGGUCUGAGAGGAUGAUCAGCCACAUUGGGACUGAGACACGGCCCAAACUCCUACGGGAGGCAGCAGUGGGGAAUAUUGGACAAUGGGCGCAAGCCUGAUCCAGCCAUGCCGCGUGAGUGAUGAAGGCCUUAGGGUUGUAAAGCUCUUUCGUCCGGGACGAUAAUGACGGUACCGGAAGAAGAAGCCCCGGCUAACUUCGUGCCAGCAGCCGCGGUAA
rnacentral:rRNA from 1 species